UGGGGAAUAUUGGACAAUGGGGGCAACCCUGAUCCAGCCAUGCCGCGUGAGUGAUGAAGGCCUUCGGGUUGUAAAGCUCUUUUGGCGGGGACGAUGAUGACGGUACCCGCAGAAUAAGCCCCGGCUAACUUCGUGCCAGCAGCCGCGGUAAGACGAAGGGGGCUAGCGUUGUUCGGAAUUACUGGGCGUAAAGCGAGUGUAGGCGGUUGCCGUAGUCAGGUGUGAAAGCCUUGAGCUCAACUCAAGAAAUGCACUUGAUACUGGGUGACUAGAGGACCGGAGAGGAUAGUGGAAUUCCCAGUGUAGUGGUGAAAUACGUAGAGAUUGGGAAGAACACCAGUGGCGAAGGCGGCUAUCUGGACGGUUACUGACGCUAAGACUCGAAAGCGUGGGGAGCAAAACAGGAUUAGAUACCCUGGUAGUCCACGCCGUAAACGAUGGGUGCUAGACGUUGGCGAGCUUGCUCGUCAGUGUCGCAGCUAACGCGUUAAGCACCCCGCCUGGGGAGUACGGCCGCAAGGUUGAAACUUAAAUGAAUUGACGGGGGUCAUAGCUG
rnacentral:rRNA from 1 species